rnacentral:tRNA from 1 species
CCGUAGCUCAAUGGAUAGAGCGUCGGUCUACGGAACCGGAGGUUCCAGGUUCGACCCCUG